rnacentral:rRNA from 1 species
UAGGGAAUCUUCGGCAAUGGACGAAAGUCUGACCGAGCAACGCCGCGUGAGUGAAGAAGGUUUUCGGAUCGUAAAACUCUGUUGUUAGAGAAGAACAAGGACGUUAGUAACUGAACGUCCCCUGACGGUAUCUAACCAGAAAGCCACGGCUAACUACGUGCCAGCAGCCGCGGUAAUACGUAGGUGGCAAGCGUUGUCCGGAUUUAUUGGGCGUAAAGCGAGCGCAGGCGGUUUCUUAAGUCUGAUGUGAAAGCCCCCGGCUCAACCGGGGAGUGUCAUUGGAAACUGGGAGACUUGAGUGCAGAAGAGGAGGGUGGAAUUCCAUGUGUAGCGGUGAAAUGCGUAGAUAUAUGGAGGAACACCAGUGGCGAAGUCGGCUCUCUGGUCUGUAACUGACGCUGAGGCUCGAAAGCGUGGGGAGCAAACAGG